AUAAAUAAAAAAAAUCCAAAACCCCAUUUUUUUUUUCUCUGCAACAGACACUAAGACCAGCUAAUGGUCCGGCAAGCCUUCGUGAUGGUCGCCGGUCGCCGAUGACGGCUUCGCCGUCUACGGUGGCCGACAAAAGAAAAAAGGGGUAUUUUUGAUCGUUUUACUACCCUCUACCCCGAUGUAAGACCAAAAUGCCCAAAAAGCCCACCAAAAUUCAAAAAAAAUCAAAGUAACCCUUCAAUUCUGUCUUCUUCUGUCAUGACCAUUCGACAAACCUCGAGAUUCCGUCGGUCUUCCAAACGAAAGGAGAAAACGGCGAUAUAAGUAAAUAGGUAUCUUUGGAGAGUCAACAACGGGGCAAAAAACAUGCCCUUGCCAUUUUGGUGAACGGCGGCAGAUGAGCGUUAGGCCUCUGGCGGCGUGCCCAUUAAUUUGGAGGGCAACGACGCUGAUAACUUAGGGUGAGCUAGGGUUUCUUGCUAGCUUAAGAUAGUGGCCCGUUUGGGCCAUUAGGUUUUUAUUCAUUUUGGGUUAUUUGUGAUUUUUAUUUUGGGUCUGUAAUAAUUUAUUUUUUUAUUUAUUUGUAAA